UACGUAGGGGGCGAGCGUUGUCCGGAUUUAUUGGGCGUAAAGAGCGUGUAGGCGGCCAGGUAGGUCUGCUGUGAAAACUAGGCUCAACCUCGAGACGUCGGCGGAAACCAUCUGGCUAGAGUCCGGAAGAGGAGAGUGGAAUUCCUGGUGUAGCGGUGAAAUGCGCAGAUAUCAGGAAGAACACCGGUGGCGAAGGCGGAUCUCUGGGCCUUACCUGACGCUCAGGUGCGAAAGCUAGGGGAGCGAACAGG
rnacentral:rRNA from 1 species